rfam:Stegodyphus mimosarum contig38418, whole genome shotgun sequence.
GCCUUCGUGGUGUAAUGGUCAGCACACUGAGCCGAUAUUUCAGAGGUCCUCGGUUCGAUUCCCGGCGAAGGCG